UCUAAGCUCUCAUCCCUCUCUCUAUCUCUCUAAGCUCUGAGAAGGAAACCACCCCAUUCCUCUCGAUUUCGACCAAACUAACUCCCAAAAAUCUGAAAUGUGAACCUUUGGGACAUGGGGAACUCAUCUGUGGCAUUGCAAUUUGCAUUGAGGCACCCCCGUGUGCUCUGCCAUUAACGCCGAGAGCUUGAGCUCUCUCGAACUCCAUCUUAGGUAUGGUUUCAUCCCUUUCUUGACUUUUGUGGGUUAUAAUCUGCUCUGUGAUGUGUGUUUAUGUCGAUAAUCCAAAGGUUUAAGAUCUGUCAUGAAUCUUUGCAUGCAUGUCAUCCCCGGCGACAAAUUCUGGUGAAUGUCGUUGAGUUCGAAGCUAGUUUCCGACUAGUUUGAGGCUUCUGGCACUCGAACUCCUUCGAACCCCAUUACAGGUAACAAAUUACCUAACUGCAUGUAAAUUUUGGGUUGAGAUUGCCAAGUUUUGACAUGUAUGCACUCUGCCAACCUUUUUCCAAAUUUCGGUGAGUUACACAGAGCUCCAACGGUCGAAUCUGAGAGGGAUUCAACCUCUCCUCGUCCUAAAAGGAUCCUAGUUUCCAAUGAAUCACCACGACCGGCGAUGGAGACUUGCCACGGGUGAGUUAGAUUUAAUGGCAGCGGCUGAGAUUCCGUUAACUUUGACAGAAUCUCAUAACGGAGAAGGUAUAAUCCAUUAACUCACUUACAAACCUCACCACACUAACACGUGGCACCGACGACAAUGAGUGCAAUGUCUACUUGCCAAACCACAGCGGAGAGUACGACUGCCCGAGGCGGCGUGUGACAUCACUGCGACGGCGCAUGGUCGGAGCAUAGUGGCGCAUGACGAACCCAAGACCUAACCUUAGGUUUUUCGAUGUUCUAAAUCACUUGGCGCCAGUGUUCUAAAAAUCGACCUAGGCGGCCGCCUAGGCGCUGGGCGGAGACCAACCGCCUCGAUUAACUCGUAAUCGGUUGCAAAAUCGGAGAAAGUAUUAGACGGACGUUGGGCGGGAUUAGGCUGGUCUAGGCGGAGCUAUGCAGGUCUGCUCACGGCUAGACGGGGCUGGGCGAAGUCUAGUUAGCUGUAUUUGAAGACGCCAGAACUAGGAAAAAUUUUGAAUCUGGAAAAGUCAGGUUGCAGAGUCAAGAGGAAGAAGAUGACUGGUGGGGUCCAUCCUUUUUUUUCAAUUUAAAUGGGAAAAUGUGAUCUUUAUGGUCCCACGACUCAUGUUUGGUUCCACGUUUCCACUAUUUUAUGCUCUUUUAUUUCUGUUUUUAUUUUUUGGGGUCAAUAUUCUUUU